UAUCAUAGAUUAUUUAACCAAGUUUUCUUUUAAAUUUUGUGUGUAUGUUCAUUUUCUCUUUUUGUUAAUUAGGUUGCUGUUAUGGAUUUGGAAACUGGAGCUAGAGCUACUUGUAAGUUUAAAAAUAUUGAUUGUAAGAAUUAAUUGUGGUUUUUGUAUAGUUUUAUGUAUAGUUUUCUCAUUUUCUUAUACGUACUCUUAUUAUCAUGGUGAAUAUGAUCAUGGUGCAGCUGCUGUUGUUGAAACUGAAGCAGUUGCUGCCCACUUUCCAAAUGAUGCUUGUAGGAAGGCAAUAUUGCUAGACUUGUUAUCCUAUCUAAGCUGCCCUUUAGUGUAGUUGAGUCUGACAGAUUCAACCGCUUAUGUAAGCUUUUGCAACCCCUAUGGAAUAUCCCAUCUAGAAGGACCGUGGCUAGGGAUUGUUUUAGGAUGUUUCGAGAUGAAAAAUUUAAGCUUAUAGCUUAUUUUAAAUCUGACUGUAGUAAGCUAGCACUUACUCCCAAAGUAUGGACUUCUAUUCAAAACUUUAGCUACAUUUCCUUAACCGCCCCACUUUAUUGAUAAUGAAUUGAAAUACCAAAAAAGGCUCCUUAGCUUUACUUUGGUUCCAAACCACACAAGUAACACAAUAGGUCAGACAGUUGAAGAGUCAUUGAGGGAUUGGGGUCUUAAGAAUGCAUCUGCAGAACCAUUGACAAUUCAUCCUCCAAUGAUGUGGCUGCGAUGGUUAGAGAUAUUUUGGCCAUUCCAACUACAAUAUCUUUAGAUAGCAUUUUCAGCAAGAGACUUAGGAUGUUAGACGGUUAUAGAAGUUCCUUGAGUCCGAGAGUUGCAUAAGCUUUGAUAUGCUCACGAAACUGGUUGAAGCCAACAGACGAGUUUGAGGUCAAUGAGGGUGUUGUUCCAUGUGCCUUAAAUAUCUUUUUCUAUCAUUUUUUAUUUAAUAUUUCUGCUGAUUGAUAUAUUAAUUUUUUUUAUUUGAUAACAGAAGUUAAUCAAGGAAUGACCAUUUGGUGUUGGGAAGCAGUUGCAGGUGGAGCACCACCAGCAACUGUGCUGUCUGUCUGAUUGCUUUUAUGGUACAGAUUUGAAUAAUUUAUUUGGAUAUCUCAUUUUGUCUAAGUAUUUUAAUAUACUGAUUUAGUUUUAUUUAAUUUGCAUUCAACAAUCAUGUUUUUUGGAGUCACAUAUGACUCAAACUGCACAACACAACAUAUAUGUUUGAAGACAUUUUGAAAUGUAGAUGUUUGCUUGCUUGGCUCCAUGGUCUCUCACAUUUUUGCUGUAUUGAUAGCCUAUACACUGCUGUUUAAACGAUGUUUAAUGCUUAUGCUAAGUCAUUGAUGCAGUUAUAAAUCUAGAGGUCAGCUCUAGUGACAGUAAUGUAGGAGAGUUCACAAUUUUUAUCCCAAACUGUUGCACAAAGAUUAUUGAUGUUAAUUUGGGUGUGGCUACUCUUGUACUUGGCUGAAAUAUUUGUGUGACCAUGUUGCAGCAUUAGCAACUGCAAGCAUCUCCUGCCAAUGUAUAUGUAGAAUUAUAGAUGAUUGUAAUUAUGGCAUUGUAAAGUUUAAGUUGCUGGUUGUGUUGUGCAGUCUUAUCAACUCUAAACAACUUGAAGUAUUGCACAAUCGUACUUUUAUUUAUUCGAAAUCUGUAAUAUUAUGAUACAGGGAUACCGGAUACCUAUCACAUGGAUGAUGAAUUAUCAUGAAUGAUGUAGUUGGGCUUCUUUAAACCAACUCAAUUCAUGUUUA